GAUGAAGAACGCAGCGAAAUGCGAUAAGUAAUGUGAAUUGCAGAAUUCAGUGAAUCAUCGAAUCUUUGAACGCACAUUGCGCCCCCCAGUAUUCUGGCGGGCAUGCCUGUUCGAGCGUCAUUUCAACCAUCAAGCCCCAGGCUUGUGUUGGGGACCUGCGGCUGCCGCAGGCCCUGAAAACCAGUGGCGGGCUCGCUGUCACACCGGGCGUAGUAGAUUUUAUCUCGCUCAGGGCGUGCUGCGGGUUCCGGCCGUUAAAAAGCCUUUUUUACCCAAGGUUGACCUCGGAUCAGGUAGGAAGACCCGCUGAACUUAAGCAUAUCAAUAAGCGGAGGA
rnacentral:misc_RNA from 1 species